rnacentral:rRNA from 1 species
UACAGAGGGUGCAAGCGUUAAUCGGAAUUACUGGGCGUACAGCGUGCGCAGACGGUUGCGUAAGUCAGAUGUGAAAGCCCCGGGCUCAACCUGGGAAUUGCAUUUGAGACUGCGUAGCUAGGGUGCGGAAGAGGGAAGCGGAAUUUCCGGUGUAGCGGUGAAAUGCGUAGAUAUCGGAAGGAACACCAGUGGCGAAGGCGGCGACCUGGGUAGAUACUGACGCUGAGGUGCGAAAGCGUGGGAGCAACAGG